rnacentral:lncRNA from 1 species
GCAUCUUAUUGCCCCUUUUUUCUCUUACCCGGGAAGAAAUUAUUCUUCUGGCGCAUGCCAUCCUCUCUGUGAAUAAUUUUCUUUCUUUUCUUUCAUCUAUUUAUUUAAAAUAGUGAUUGGGGUCUCACUAUAUUGCCCAGGCUGGUCUCGAACUUCUGGGCUCAAGCCAUCCUCCCACCUUGACCUCACAAAGUGCUAGGAUUACAGACGUGAGCCACCGUGCUCACCCUCUGAAUAAAUUCACUGGGAGUUACUAUCCUAGUGAUAAUGAUUGGAGUUUUCAAGGUAGAUUAGAUAUACAAGAGAAGAGGAUGGAAGAAGAGAAGAGGAUAGAAGAGGAGUAAAGAAUGGGAUAGUACUGAGAAACUAGUUCAGAAAAAAAUGGUAAACUCUCACAGAAAUACAAGUGGGUGAGUUUGCAAUAGCAACAGGGGUAACAAGUUGAGGAAAAUAACUGAGAAAAAACCUUAGUGAUUAUCUUAGGAGACUUUUGAGUUGAUGUUUUUAGGGAAUAAAGUAGGGCUGAAACAGUAUUUCAAGGGCUUUUGGAAAUAUGUGGAGGUAGUGGCACCUUUUAACCUUGACAGUAAAAGGAACUAGAUAGAAUAUAGGCAGUGGAAAAGAUAAGUGAAUGGAUGAGGAAGUCUGUUGGAAGAAGCCACUGGAAGCAACUUGAACUGUACUUGGAAGAGAUCAUUAAAGGAUUAUGGGCCAAGAAGAAAUAUGUGGGAAUAAAACUAAUUGACAAGUACAGUUAUCUUUGAAAAGGGUUUAGGAUACUUAGGGUUUAUUUUCCUCUGAUGUAGAAGGGAAAGAAUGUGAAUUCAAGUGAAGAGAGCAACUAUUACAAAGAAACAGCUGAGCAUGGAAGUUAACUGCCGGGCUAUGGAAUAGACAGAUUUCACCUUACACCUUCUUCAUCUUACGUCCUUGAGCAAGUUUCUUCACUUCCCAGUCUCAGUUUCUUCUUCUAUAAAAUAGACAUAACAAUGCCCCCCUUUUUUUUGUGAGGAGUAAAUGAGAAAAUUUUAUGAAAUACCUAAAACUGGCAUAUAAUAAGUGCCAAUAAAUGGUAGCUAUUGUUACCAACCUGCCAGCACAACUUAUGUUUGUCCCAUUUCUUGAGAGUUUAUAAAGACUUUCUUAAGUGUUACUUUAAGAUGUCUGCAAGCAUUCUGCAGGACUACAGAAAAUAUAAAAAUGAGUAAGAAAAUGUCAUUGUGUCCUCAAGGAUCUCAUAAAUCAAAAGGUAAAAAAAUUUUUACAAGGAUAAAAAUUAUGAUACAAAACUUAAGAUCACUUUAGCCCUGUUGUGAGUCAGGGGUAGAAUGAAGAUUGGAAAACUAAUAUAAAGGCUGCUGCUC